CGGGAUCAGUCCCGUGAAGGAAUGUGGCGCGAAACCAGCGCUGAACCUGAAG
rfam:Methanofollis liminatans DSM 4140 chromosome, whole genome shotgun sequence.